rfam:Pan troglodytes isolate Yerkes chimp pedigree #C0471 (Clint) chromosome 20, whole genome shotgun sequence.
GCCAGGCAUGGUGGCUUAUGCCUGUAAUCCCAGUACUUUGGGAGGCUGAGGCAGGUGGAUCGCCUGAGGUCAGGAGUUCCAGACCAGCCUGGCCAACAUGGUGAGACCCUGUUUCUA